UACGUAGGUGGCGAGCGUUGUCCGGAAUUACUGGGUGUAAAGGGUGCGUAGGCGGGUUGACAAGUCAGAUGUGAAAUCCCAUGGCUUAACUGUGGGACUGCAUUUGAAACUGUUGGCCUUGAGUGCAGGAGAGGUAAGCGGAAUUCCCAGUGUAGCGGUGAAAUGCGUAGAUAUUGGGAGGAACACCAGUGGCGAAGGCGGCUUACUGGACUGCAACUGACGCUGAUGCACGAAAGCGUGGGGAUCAAAC
rnacentral:rRNA from 1 species